rnacentral:rRNA from 1 species
AUACGGAGGGGGUUAGCGUUGUUCGGAAUUACUGGGCGUAAAGCGCACGUAGGCGGACUGGAAAGUUGGGGGUGAAAUCCCGGGGCUCAACCCCGGAACUGCCUCCAAAACUUCCAAUCUAGAGAUCGAGAGAGGUGAGUGGAAUUCCAAGUGUAGAGGUGAAAUUCGUAGAUAUUUGGAGGAACACCAGUGGCAAGGCGGCUCACUGGCUCGAUACUGACGCUGAGGUGCGAAAGCGUGGGGAGCAGACAGGAUUAGAAACCCCAGUAGUCC